rnacentral:rRNA from 1 species
CCCUUAGAUGUUCUGGGCCGCACGCGCGCUACACUGAUGCAUUCAACGAGUCUAAAACCUGCUCUGAUAGGGGUGGGUAAUCUUUUGAAUGUGCAUCGUGAUUGGGAUAGAUGAUUGCAAUUUUUCAUCUUCAACGAGGAAUGCCUAGUAAACGCAAGUCAUCAGCUUGCAUUGAUUACGUCCCUGCCCUUUGUACACACCGCCCGUCGCUCCUACCGAUUGGAUGAUCCGGUGAGCUAUUCGGACUUUCGCAUUGUCGAUUUUCGGCUUUACGAGGGAAAGUCUCGCGAACCUUAUCAUCUAGAGGAAGGAGAAGUCGUAACA